AGCGUAGACGGUUUAGCAAGUCUGAAGUGAAAGCCCGGGGCUCAACCCCGGGACUGCUUUGGAAACUGUUGAACUAGAGUGCAGGAGAGGUAAGCGGAAUUCCUAGUGUAGCGGUGAAAUGCGUAGAUAUUAGGAGGAACACCAGUGGCGAAGGCGGCUUACUGGACUGUAACUGACGUUGAGGCUCGAAAGCGUGGGGAGCAAACA
rnacentral:rRNA from 1 species